rnacentral:rRNA from 1 species
UACAGAGGUCUCAAGCGUUGUUCGGAUUCAUUGGGCGUAAAGGGUGCGUAGGUGGCGCUGUAAGUCGGGUGUGAAAUUUCGGAGCUCAACUCCGAAACUGCAUUCGAUACUGCGGUGCUUGAGGACUGGAGAGGAGACUGGAAUUCAUGGUGUAGCAGUGAAAUGCGUAGAGAUCAUGAGGAAGACCAGUGGCGAAGGCGGCUCACUGGCCCGGUACUGACGCUGAGAUACGAAAGCGUGGGGAGCAAACAGG